AACGAACGCUGGCGGCAUGCCUAACACAUGCAAGUCGAACGAGACCUUCGGGUCUAGUGGCGCACGGGUGCGUAACGCGUGGGAACCUGCCCUUAGGUUCGGAAUAACUCCCCGAAAGGGGUGCUAAUACCGGAUAAUGUCUUCGGACCAAAGAUUUAUCGCCUUUGGAUGGGCCCGCGUUGGAUUAGCUAGUUGGUAGGGUAAAAGCCUACCAAGGCGACGAUCCAUAGCUGGUCUGAGAGGAUGAUCAGCCACACUGGGACUGAGACACGGCCCAGACCCCUAGGGGGGGCCGGAGGGGGGAAUUUUGGAAAAGGGGCGAAAGCCUGAACCAGAAAUGCCGGGUGAGGGAUGAAGGCCUUAGGGUUGUAAAGCUCUUUUACCCGGGAUGAUAAGGAAAGUACCGGGAGAAAAAGCCCCGGAUAACUCCGU
rnacentral:rRNA from 1 species